AUGCUCACCACCAUCCUCGCGCUCAAGCACAGGCCACACAUAGAUGAUGGCGUUGGCCGCGUCGACGAGGUUGGGAGUCCCUCGACCCAACCCUUGCCCUCCCCUGCAUUGACGGGCCCACCCAUCUUUGUGCGUGUAUGCAGGGGAUAUGCCGCUCUGCCGCAGCCGCUGGUCCGGCCGUGCCGGAGCCGGGGGAGCGCCGUCGUGUGCAACGCGUCGGUAGUGCUCUUGCUUGCUAAAGGCACAGGCAUACACAAAUCUUUCCUCGUGCCAUUGUUUGUUCUGCAAGCACUUGGCCCUGUAAUCUCAUGGAUCAAGAGUGAAUAUGGGCUGUGGACUGCUUUUCUUGCGCUUGCAGUGCAUUUGUUCUUACCCUUUCCAGAUGAGCUAGAGCUUCCACUGUCAACGAUGCUGGCGGUCAGCAUUGCUCCUUACCAGGUGAUGAAUGUGAGGCUAUGUUGGUGGAUUUUAGAGAGAACUUGUCUUCGAACAAUACUAUCCAGAAGCAGCAAGGGAAAGACAACCAUUGCAUUACUACACUUAGAUAAUUUUGACUUGUUAGCUACACCCUUUGGAUGGUGCUACUUGUAG
rnacentral:rRNA from 1 species